CCCUCACCAAAGCCUCCUGUCCGCAGCAGGUUGGUGACACCACUGCUGCCCUCAUGUGCUGCCACUCACCAAGUUGUGUAACUGCAUCAGCGCUGGUCAUGGGCUGUAAUAGGAGAUAUGGAGACACGAUAGAAGAGUGUUGAGGAUUAAGAGAUUUCCUUACCUUUGGAAAGGCCCAGAAAAUAGAUGGGGAAUACGCAGGAGGUGGAGUUGUCCUGCCUCCUCUGGGGUGGUGGGAAGAGGGAGGAUGGGGCUGGCUGGUGCUGUUAUAGCAGUAUUGUUGCUGGGUGCUUAUCAUAGCUGCUCAUUUCUUUAUAGGAAGACCAGAAGGGAGGGUGGUGCUCACCCAUCCCAGGACAUACUCAUCCUUGAGCAUCACAUUCUUCGCAGGAAGGUUCACCAAAUGACUCAGCUGGACAGAGCUGAAUCCAGUCCAGGACAUCACAGAAGUCAGGAGGAACCGCAAAAAGGAACUGCUGUCAUUGCCUCCUUAUUUUGCUGAUGUGUGAGUGCUGAAGUCAGCUCUGGGACAGACGUGGGGCUCACCUCAAAUAAGGUCACCGACAACCAGAGGAAGAAACCCUGGGGUGCCUGCAUGCAAAUCCCUCUGUUCAGCUCAUUGCUUCAGUGAUAGAUGGAUCCUGGAUGGUGCACAUACCCAUUUUGCACGCUUAUCACAGGACAAGGUGAGCUGCACACCUGUUUUCUCCAAGGCUGGCAUGGCCUGGGUGGCCAAUGUUGGAUCUUGGAUGAGGUUCGUCCCAGUUGGGUCUUUGGUCUCACUGCUACAGGGCUCCCCAGAACCCUGCAGGUUUCUUCCCAAAGGCAGAGCUCGAACCAUUCUCAGGAGGUUAUUUGGGUGUGGAUC